UAUAAUUAGGUUUUACUCUUUGUUCGAUAGAAUGAGAAAAAGUACUCGUUACAAAAUUAUACUGUUAGGGCGCAACUGAGUAGUCUAAUGUUCUUCCGAUUUUUGUUCUUCUGAACGUUGACAUCGAUUCGUUCCAAAUUUACACUCUCGAGGUGUAAUAAAAUAAUAUAAUUAGGUUUUAGUCUUUGUUCGAUAGAAUGAGAAAAAGUACUCGUUGCAAAGUUAUACUGUUAGGGCGCAACUGAGUAGUCUAAUGUUGUUCCGGUUUUGGUUCUUGUGAACGUUGACAUCGAUUCGUUCCAAAUUUACACUCUCGAGGUGU
rnacentral:lncRNA from 1 species